AAAGAGUACUUUGAUAAUGAGAGAAAAGAACAUUAUAUAGACUAGCAGAAAGACUGCCCUCUGAGCAGUUUUCUGCUAGUUACUUGAUAUUUUUACAUUUGAUUUCCAAUUCUAAUAAUUUUACUGAUUUUUAUAUCUAAUCAUUUCUUUGUAUUAUAGUGCUCACUUGCUUAGUAA